rnacentral:rRNA from 1 species
UAACAAGGAUUCCCCUAGUAACUGCGAGUGAAGCGGGAAAAGCUCAAAUUUAAAAUCUGGCAGUCUUUGGCUGUCCGAGUUGUAGUCUGGAGAAGCGUUUUCCGCGUUGGACCGUGUAUAAGUCUCUUGGAACAGAGCGUCAUAGAGGGUGAGAAUCCCGUCUUUGACACGGACUACCAAUGCUUUGUGAUGCGCUCUCAAAGAGUCGAGUUGUUUGGGAAUGCAGCUCAAAAUGGGUGGUAAAUUCCAUCUAAAGCUAAAUAUUGGCGAGAGACCGAUAGCGAACAAGUACCGUGAGGGAAAGAUGAAAAGCACUUUGGAAAGAGAGUUAAACAGUACGUGAAAUUGCUGAAAGGGAAACGCUUGAAGUCAGUCGCGUCGUUCAGAACUCAACCUGGCUUUUGCUUGGUGUAAUUUCUGCGCGACGGGCCAGCAUCAAUUUUGAUCAUUGGAAAAAGUCCAGAGGAAUGUGGCACCUUCGGGUGUGUUAUAGCCUUUGGUCGUAUACAAUGGUUGGGAUUGAGGAUCUCAGCACGCCUUUAUGGUCGGGGUUCGCCCACGUUCGUGCUUAGGAUGCUGGCGUAAUGGCUUUAAACGAC